rnacentral:lncRNA from 1 species
AUGUUAAUGAUUUUAAAAAUAACGUACAAAGGAUCAUUGGGUAAGAUAUUUAGAAAGUCUGUGGUCUUCAGGCCAAGGGGAGUGGAGGAGAGUGUCACAUCGCCAGCAUGUGCAGACUCUAAUGCAAGCAUCCCCUGUCACACAGAUCAUCAUUGGGGUCAGGCCCGACCAGCUUUCCCAGCACUUGACCUUGAGGUGAAACAUCUGGGAAUAAGGUCCUGCUUAUUUGCUUAUCAGUCUCCUUUUAAAAGGUCUCCAUCUUUCCCAGGUAAGAAAUAAUGAGAAAACCAUGAGAAGUUACCCACGGUUUCCUUUAAUGCUCUCAGGGUUUAGGUAAUAACGCAGCUUAAGGAAGCCAUCCCUCCUUUUGGGAAAGGAGGUGAAGAGGGAGGUGAAUCCAAGAAGAGGAACCAGAAGAGUGGUCAAGAAGGCUGAGAGGCAAGGACAGGCAUUUCCAAGUAAGGAACCUGGAAGGCUCAAUGAUAAAAGCCACCUUGCGGUGGCUAAAAAAGUAAGUAUUUUGGUCUAUUUCCUGUGAUCGCCAUCAUUCUUCUUGUUCGGUGCCAGUCACUAAACAUGGUUUUGGAAGCAUGGCUGCCAGGAAGGGAACAAGAACAAGUGUCUCAAAGAAGAGCUUGGUCCGGAGGAGAGAAUAAGCCCCAAAGACCAUCAGGGUUAACAGGAAUAUGCUGACUCUAUUCAUUCUUUGUGAAUUUCCACACCAGACUCUGCCAGUAGGAUGUCUGUUGGUGAUGAUCAGAUAGAUGGCCCCAUGAUGUAUUGAAGAAAAUGAAAAGAAACAAAGGAAACCAGAGAACGAUGAUAAUGGUCCCAGAAGAUCAUGAUUUUGUUCUUGGUUUCCUUCAUCUUUCCACCUGCCAGGCCUUUCCCCAACAGGGCCAUUUUCCUGCAGGCUAUUCUUCCAUGUCAGCUGCAGAAAGCAAGAGGCCAAGGAGAAGUGUGAGUUGACUAGGUGCUGAAUGGACAAGCCUGGGCUGAGAAGAAGUCAAAAGCUCACUAUCAGAGGAAACGACAUCCUGCCCCUCUCAGUGAGAAGGCGUUAAACUCACGUGGCAGCUGCUGCCCAGCAGAGUCCUGGGCUCUGAAAUAGACUCUACCUUCUUCUGCUUUUCCACGGGACCACCAGUGCCCACGUCCAAGAAAAUCUACUCCAAAGGAGAAGGUCCCCUCAUUUCAUGUGCGCUCUCAGCUUAGCAACUCCAAUCUUGCACAGACAUGGAUUUUCUUUGUAAAACUUUGCCCUCAUCAUGCUCCCUAU